rnacentral:misc_RNA from 1 species
AAAAACAACAAUGUCUGCGCCCAUAUCACAUGCACGAGAAACAUUUUUUAUUUAGUGACAACAGUCUAAAUGGAGGAUUGUCCGUGCAAAAGGAAAAAGUUGGACGAUGAUACCGAGAAUUCGAGGACUAUGUCAAGCAAUGGCGAAGAGCAAGAAAUAAAAGCGGGGAGUCAGGACAAGGAAUAUUUCCAGAGUUACGCUGAUGUGGGGAUUCACGAGGAGAUGUUGAAUGACGUCGUCAGGACGAACGCCUACAGAUAUGCCAUAUUGAAGAAUUACGAGAAGAUCCGCGGGAAAGUGGUGGCGGAUGUUGGGGCGGGGACUGGAAUACUGAGCGUGUUCUGUGUACAGGCUGGCGCCAAGAAAGUGUAUGCGAUAGAGGGAAGUGCUCUCGCUAAACAGACCAGAUUGGUAGUUGAAGAAAACAAGAUGGCGGAUAGAAUCACAGUACUGCAGGGUAGAGCUGAGGAUGUCAAAUUGCCAGAAAAAGUGGAUGUCAUUGUGAGCGAAUGGAUGGGCUAUGCAUUGUUUUAUGAAUCCAUGUUGCCAUCUGUUCUACAUAUAAGAGACCGCUGGAUGAAGAAAGACGGUGUCAUUCUCCCGUCGUCAGCAUCUCUGUAUAUUGCCCCGUUUUCAGACGACGAAAUUUCAGAAAGAUUGGAAACAUGGAGUGCAAUGAAAGAGAAGUAUAAGGUGUCCAUGGACUGUAUGAAAACAUACGCAAAACAGUGCUUGUCAUAUGGCGCCCAUGUCCGGUGCAUCUGUCCUGAGGAUGUCAUUGCGCAUGCAUGUCAGUUAGUGAACUUUGACCUCAGUAAAGUGACCGUCCAGGAGGUCACGGACAUCCAGGUCUCUCAUUUUAGUUUCAGUUGCAAAUGAAAACUGUUUAGGUUAUCUUUAUACUCUCAACUUCAACGGAGAGGAAACCCCGAAGAAAAAAAUGAUCCAGUAAUGAUAUUUUCUUUCCAAUUUCAGCAUAAACUCUUUUCUAUCGCAAUUGUUUGUAGAUACAUUAUUUUUCAAUUUUACAAGAUUUUUCUAAUAUCAAUUUGUAAUUUUAUUACGAGGUUACUGUGAAGGAGCCUAUUGAUUCAAAGCCAAAUGUAAAAAGUUAUCGAAGUUUUAUAUAUGUAUAUUUAUAUCUUAACUGUAAAAACAGUCGUCAUUUUGGCUAUGAUAAUUUUUUGAAUGUGUCGUAGAUUGGACGGCAGUAUCUCGGUUAAAAUGUCUGCUCUUUUCUUAUGCAGAGGACUUUCGAGCUGACCUGUUUCGGCUCCUCGGUCCUCCAUGGAUUUGUCCUUUGGUUCACCGUCUCGUUUCCGGAGAACGUCAUUCUCUCUACCUCACCAUAUUCACAAAGUACACAUUGGGGACAGACAUUGUUUUAUAAUGAAGAAGAGUGUGACGUCAGACAGGAUACACAGAUACAAGGAACGAUAACUAUGAAGCCAAAUAAAGCCAAACCAAGAUUCCUCGAUGUUAACAUCGGUUUUCAAAUCGAUAAACACAACAUUCAACAAAAGUCUUAUUACAUGAGUGACAAUAUAACGUGAUGAUUAUUGAUAUUAUAUGUUUCUAUACGUUAUAAAAAUACAUUCAUUGUUGACAAUAACACUUCAAGCUUUUGACAGACAAUGGCUUGUUUUGACAGCAUGUAUCAGUUUUAUACAAACAAUGCUUUGUACAUAAAGUACUAUACCUUUC